GCCUGGCUGGCUCAGUUGGUACAGCAUAAGACUCUUGAUCUCAGGGUCAUGAGUUUGAGCCCCAUGUUGGGCA
rnacentral:tRNA from 1 species